AUCAGCCUGAAGGCGCCCGAUCUCGUCUGAUCUCGGAAGCUAAAGCAGGGUCGGGCCUGGUUAGGAUCUUGGAUGGGAGACCACCUGGGAAUCCCGGGU
rnacentral:rRNA from 1 species